AAAGCGUGCGCAGGCGGUUUUGUAAGUCUGAUGUGAAAUCCCCGGGCUCAACCUGGGAAUUGCAUUGGAGACUGCAAGGCUAGAAUCUGGCAGAGGGGGGUAGAAUUCUACGUGUAGCAGUGAAAUGCGUAGAUAUGUGGAGGAACACCGAUGGCGAAGGCAGCCCCCUGGGUCAAGAUUGACGCUCAUGCACGAAAGCGUGGGGAGCAAACAGGAUUAGAUACCCUGGU
rnacentral:rRNA from 1 species